GACCCCACGCCACGCAGAGGUGAAGAUACGCAGGACGUCCUCUAAAGCAACUUCCGUGGGUGCCAGGUUGUGGGCUGGGGGCGGUGCUGACCUUGAGAGAGCGGAGGAGGCGCAGGCGCAGCACAGUUUAAACUUGAUUUUGUGAGGGGACGAACAGCGUGACAAUUAAAAGAAGAUCUGGGAAUCAAAAGCUUCCUGAGGCCUUCACCAGAAGCAGAUGCUGGUGCCGUGCUUCUACAGCCUGCAGAACUGAAGGACUUUACAGCUUCUCUUUCGCAUAUCCAAAUUGCCAGCAUCACCGCUCUUGCACUCCAAGCCAUUAUUAAGUAAAGUAAAGAACACAAACACUGUGAUACUGCUACACUUGAUCUGAUAACCAAGAAGUCUACUAAGUGACUAACAGUUAAUAUUUUUGGACAUGAGGUGACUGCAGUUAACUAAAACCAUGGAAAGCAAACCCAUAGAUAAAGGGAUACUAUGAGCAACUGGGAACCUAAUUCUGACCAAAAAGGAGGAAUUGUUUGGCUAAUUGGAAGUGACAGAAACCUUGGGAGAAAGCAACCGCAUACCAAGGAUAAUUAUAAGAAGAAGAGAAGACAUGGAGAAGAGGAGGGAGUAGUUGUGACCGUGGAGGCAGAGAAUGGAGUAAUGUGAUCAUAAAUCAAGGAAUGCUGACAGCCACUAAAGCUGGAGAAGGCCAAGGACAGAUAUUCAAUCCUCCCGUAGAAGUACAGCCCUGCUAAUGCAUUGAUUUUGGACUUCUGGCCUCAGAACUGUAAGAGAAUAAAUUUCUAUUGUUUUAAGCCUUCAGUUUGUGGUAGUUUGUUACAGAAACCCUGUAAAGUUAAUACACAGAGUUCAAAGAGAAUCCGGUAAUAUCUCUAAAAGACUCGUGUAUUAGUCAGGAUUCUCCAGAGAAGCAAAGCCAAUAGAAUGAUACAUGUUGUUAAAGCAAAUUAAAAUGGAGACCAUGCCUGAAGAAUCUCUGUGCAGAGAAACCCAGUUAGGCCUCAUAAGUUAACCUUACUUGAUUUGCAAACAUAAUCUAAAAGUUAACUGGAGCUAUUUCCGGUAAAUGAAUAUAACACAACUUAAGCUCAAUCAGUCAGAAGCAGCUUUAUAAUUAUGUAGCUAGGGACUUUCCAAGAGGAUGACCAAAG
rnacentral:lncRNA from 10 species